rnacentral:rRNA from 1 species
GACGAAGGAUGCAAGCGUUAUCCGGAUUCAUUGGGUUUAAAGGGUGCGUAGGCGGACUGGUAAGUCAGUGGUGAAAUCUCUUUGCUUAACAAAGAAACUGCCAUUGAUACUGCUAGUCUAGAGUAUAGAUGACGUUGGCGGAAUAUGACAUGUAGUGGUGAAAUACUUAGAUAUGUCAUAGAACACCGAUUGCGAAGGCAGCUAACGAAACUAUAACUGACGCUGAGACACGAAAGCGUGGGUAGCAAACAGG